rnacentral:lncRNA from 1 species
AGGUUGUGGUUUCCGAACGGAUCGAGACUGACACCUGAAGGACGCGGCUUAACCGCUUAGCCCCUAGCGGGUCCUGUGGGUUUCCCGACGUCUCCUGGGCUGAAAUGGAAGCGAGAAGUGAUCGGGAACAUUGUGCUGGCAGUUGGAUCCGGCUGCACCGAGCGCCAGCCUUGAAAUAAGUAAAACCGAUGCCCUUCCGCCCCUAACCUCAAAAGCUGCUUUUGCGUCUCGAUGUUAUUGAGAGCCGGCUCUGCGGUCAGCUCUGAGCUAGGCGCUGUGAGAACGCUCAGUAAGACAGUGUCUCGUCUGGAAAUGUACAGGCGAGAUUCAAACCGAGAAACUGCCAAAGGUUGUGUGCAGGGCAGAUCCUAGGAUACCGGAGACCCAGCCCGUUGGCUUGACCUCAAAACUCGGGGGCUUUUCGGCCCAUGCUGUCCCUUAAUUCCUCCUCCUUUGCUGACGCUGUGGGUGCGCAUCAAAGCCUAAACUUCACUAGCUCCCUUGCACACAAGAACACUAACCCUAACCUGACCAGUUAUUUAUUUUUCACUUCAAGAUUCUUCCAUUGAUACUUACGUUUCCCUGAUACCGUCCAAGUGCUGAGGGCGGGGAUGGACUGUGUGAUUUGCAUCUGCCAAAUGCAGAAAAUUUGGAAGGUUCACAGCCUCUUAGUUGGAUGCCCCUGUGUCACAGAACACAUUUUGGCUAUGGGGUGUGAUCUGUGUCUGAGGAACAACAAGAAGCUACACGUCAUCCA